GACGGAGGAUGCAAGCGUUAUCCGGAAUGAUUGGGCGUAAAGCGUCCGCAGGUGGCAGUUCAAGUCUGCUGUCAAAGACCGGGGCUUAACUUCGGAAAGGCAGUGGAAACUGAACAGCUAGAGUAUGGUAGGGGCAGAGGGAAUUCCUGGUGUAGCGGUGAAAUGCGUAGAGAUCAUGAGGAAGACCAGUGGCGAAGGCGGGUCUCUGGACAGUUCCUGACACUGAGGCACGAAGGCCAGGGGAGCAAACGGG
rnacentral:rRNA from 1 species